UUUUUUUUUUUUUUUUUUUUUUUCCUUCACUGGCUCGACCAAUUGUUUUGGCUUCAAGUUAGAAGCAGCUCCAAUUAAAGAUAAUGGUUGUUUGGCUUGAAUGAAGCCUAAAAGCCAGGAUCCCUAAUGUAUGCUCUGAAACACUCAGAAACAAACAAGAUAGUCCUUAAGAUAUAUUUCAUAGAAGUUUGAGUUUCUCUGAAGAAGUUAAAGCUGGAUAAAACUAAACUAGUUAUCACAAUCAAGUUUCAAAUGUGAAAGCCUUAACUCUUAAGAAAAAGAAAUCCAACAGCAUCUUGAAAGCAAAUGGAAAUCUGAGCAAACACUUAGGGGAUCUGAUCAAUGCAGACAGAAAGCACCUCAGAAAAAUUCCGAAAGUUGGUCUCAACUGCCCUGACUUAGCCAUGUAUUUGAAGCAGUUUCAUUUGGUUUGUCUAAGUAGCUAUGUCCACAGAAGCACACUAUUUUUUACAUUUAUCCAAAGAGGAAACUCAGGUCUUUACUGAAGUCGAAAUUUGAAAAUGCACCAUCAGUGGCACUCAUACCAUUCCCAAGGAGAAAGAAAGACACAGGUGUGUGUUGGGGGGUGGGGGGGGUGUUUUAUGAGACAGACAACCAGAAGAACCAUGGUCCUAGGAAAAAACCUACUUUGAAAUUAAAAAAAUAUGACUGUUUAGUGUUUCACAGAUGUUUAUUUUUUCAAUCAAAUCUUUGCUUCCCUCCUCUCUGCCUUACAAUUUAAUCACACAUGCUAUUAAAUAGAAAAAAAUAUAAAUUCUGGGAAAUAAAAUAAUACACUGUGUAGAAGUGAUCACCUCUACCGUUUGAAAGCACCAACUAUUGUUAUUACAUGUGUAAGAAUCCUAAAAAAAAAACUUGCAUGUACAAUUCGGAGCCAUUUACUCUACAGCUUAUACAGAAGCUAUCACAGAAAUGAAAGCACUUUAUAGACACUAGACAGAAUUUAUAAAAAGUAUUAUUAAAGCAUGAUAACCUGGCAAUUCACUCUCCAAGGAGAAACCAAAACCAGCCAUGCAUGUAGAUUCUCGGGGCUAAAAAAAAAAGGUAAUAGUGAUCGUAAACAAUAAUCUUGUUAUUUAGAAGAAUAAAUCUUUCCGUAACUCAAAAAUCCUUCUACAGGGACUAUGAUUCUCUGAAAUGUUAGUACAUUCAGAGAUUGUGGGAGCAUGGCCCAGUCACCUAGCAUGAGCUUAACAAACCUCUGUUGAAAAAAUAAUUGGUGAAGAAAAAGAAGUCAGGGCACUUUUUAAAUUCUAAUUUUAGCCCUGGGUGAAGAACCAACAAACAGCGCCUGAAUUAAAUAUGUCCCUUUCAAAAUAUCAGUUUUAUAAACCUGCAAACUGUCAUAAUAAAACAUAGACUCUUCUUAAAAUUUCAACCCUUCUGGUCAGGGUUGAAGUCAGUCACAAAGGGACCAACCUAAAAAUAGACUGGUGAGUGACGAGAGGAUGGGAGCCUGCCUGCUCUGUCAGCUCCCCUUGCUAGAAGCGAAUGGAAAACUCAGAUGAUGUCUCCUCAUGUGUAGACAUUUCCCCUUAAGCAAAUAAAUGUAACAGCCAAAGCAUAGCUUUGGUAGCCUAAGGAACAGUGUAAGAAGCAUUUACAAAGUUGGUAAAUCAACUGCUUUGCCUAGGAAUGGAAAUGAGUAUGUUGCCUCUAAAAACAUAUUUGUAAAGUGAACAGUCAAAACCAUUUGCCCUUAAUUUUCUUCAUUACAUUCCUAACAACAACAGUUGCAUCAGAGCAAGAUUUUUGCUACUAUAUUCCCAGCUCAUUCCACACUGGGGUUGUUUCUACACAGUAAUAAAGCAUCUGGGUGAAAAAUGGAAAAGACACAACUCAUCAUCCAGCUGUUUUUAAAAUCCCAGCUGUUCAGUAAUAGGCAGAAAACAACCUAGGAUAAUAACCGCACAUAAUAGACCCACAUUGCAGGUGAUCACAGAAGCUUUCUUGGUAUGCACUGACAUGACCUGAUUUAUAAAAUGGGAAGACAUCUACCUAGAUCACACAAAAAAAGCUCUCCCUGAGAAAUCUAGGAUGGCAGAAGCCUUCCUGACCUGGGUUUUUGUUGAAGCAAAGGUGAGUGGGAGUGCCAAGCAUUUUACAAUAUCUAUCUCUGCAGUUGAAAAAAAAAAAAAAAAGCUACAGGCUUAAUAACUAAGGGGAAAGGCUGAAAGAAGAAACUAAAAACAAAAUCUUAGAACACUUUAUUUUGAACAGGCUUAUAUUUGGCUGGAACUUAUAUUAGAAUCUUCUAUUUCCCUUUCCAAAUUCUUUCAGGGGUACAGUAAAAUUUCAGAAAGUUGAAUGACUUUCUAAUCUCUCUUGCAAAGCUUAUAGCACAACUACAGCUUUUCAUAACAGAAACGGGAAAAAAAAAAAAAAAGUUCCCAGCUUGUCAUUUUCAGCUUAUUUUAGCAAUGACAGCGGGAUUUAUCCCAUGCUAGACUGAUCUCCAGCAGUGACACCAUGGACAAACAAACAAAGAAAAUAUCAGUAAUUCCUAAACAGAGCCUCUCCCAUCCAAAGAUUCAAUUCAGUCCCUUGAGUGAGUAAAUAUAACCUGGUGUCACAAGAAGAUUCACACCUUAAAAUACUGUAUGUUGCUUCAUCCUUAUCUGUCUAAUCUAACCCUUUCUUCACUGUUUCUCACACUGCCUUGCAGCCUGUGAAGUAUGUGGAUUCUAGUAGUGAAAUAACACCUCUUCUCUGUGGAUGAGCAGCAGCUAAAUCAGCAAGGAGCAUAUGACAGUAGCAAGGAGUUCUAAUUAUGUCGCUACACAGAUUUUAUGAUUUUUCCAUUCCUCUAAGAAUUGCACGCCAGCAAUAACCAACAUAAACACAUCAUUCAGCUCUGUGUUAGUGACAUUCACUCCUAUGGCUUCAACUGGUUGCUUAAUUCUGUCUUGAUUUUAAUACACUACUACAUUGACACUCUGUAUUAGAAUGAGGGGGUGAACUUGCUGUCUAGCACAGGGAAAUCUGCUUGUUGUUCUGUGAUAACCUAUAUGGGAAUGUCUGUGUGUCUAUGUAUGGCUGAAUCACUUUGCUGUACAGCGGAAAUUAACACACUGUAAAUAAAAUAUACUCCAGUGAAAUUAAUAAUAAAAAAAGAAUGAGGGGUGAGACAGGAGGAGGGAACUAUCCCCUGUGACAUACAAAUGCCCAUGUGGCAAUCUUCUAAGGAUGUGAAAGAAGCCCUUACUCUGAAGGUAAAGGUGAGUUCUACCCCUAACAAGACCUAUAGCUCUAAUUCUCAGCAACAGUUUUAUGGUUUUGAUUGUGAGUGCUGUCAAAACCUAAAAGCAAAAGGAAUUAGAGUAUUGGAACACAUAUAUACACAUGCCUACCAUUGGAACAUAAACAUACACAUGUCUACCAAGUCUGGUACCAAUACUAAGUGAUCAGUUCACUUUUCCUGGAUUUUCUGGGUUAACACAAAUUAGUAGUUAGCACUAGCAAAUAAAGCAGUUUUUAAACUGAGCUAACUACUUUUGCCAUCAAAUUCAUGACUCCCUUUAAGCAUAUAAUACUUUACCCCUUGCCACCCUCCCUUCCACUCACUUAGCCCCUCAUUUAGUUCUGAUCAUCCUUAUAUCCAGUUUCUACUG
rnacentral:lncRNA from 1 species